CUGAAACCAGCAGAUAAAAGGAUCAUGUCAACCAGAAGUGGCUGUUCAUUCAGGACUGGGAGACUGACCUUACAACUAGGCACAGAACUUGGUGAAACCAUCGGAUCCAGCAGCCUCAAUGUCAAUUAAAAUGUGUGUACUUACAAAACAAGAAGAAAGAACUGUGAAACCUAGUAACUCCGCAAAUUACACAUGGUUCAAGCAAUUUUUAUAUGUUGAAAGGUUUCAAAGACAAGCUACAGCAUCUUUACAGCAAAUGACACACAGACAUC